rnacentral:rRNA from 1 species
AUUGAACGCUGGCGGCAUGCUUUACACAUGCAAGUCGAACGGUAACAGGUUAAGCUGACGAGUGGCGAACGGGUGAGUAAUGCAUCGGAACGUGCCCGAUCGUGGGGGAUAACGUAGCGAAUGUUACGCUAAUACCGCAUACGAUCUGAGGAUGAAAGCGGGGGACCGUAAGGCCUCGCGCGAUCGGAGCGGCCGAUGUCCCAUUAGCUAGUUGGUGAGGUAAAAGCCCACCAAGGCGACGAUAGGUAUCCGGCCUGAGAGGGUGUACGGACACAGUGGGACUGAGAGACGGCCCAAACUCCUACGGUAGGCAGCAGCUAAGAAUAUUCCGCAAUGGACGAAAGUCUGACGGAGCGACGCCGCGUGGAUGAAGAAGGCCGAAAGGUUGUAAAAUCCUUUUGCUGAUGAAGAAUAAGUGUGGUAGGGAAUGACCGCAUGAUGACAUUAGUCGGUGAAUAAGCCCCGGCUAACUACGUGCCAGCCGCCGCCGUAACAC